GACGAACGCUGGCGGCGUGCUUAACACAUGCAAGUCGAACGGAAAGGCCCUGCUUUUGUGGGGUGCUCGAGUGGCGAACGGGUGAGUAACACGUGAGUAACCUGCCCUUGACUUUGGGAUAACUUCAGGAAACUGGGGCUAAUACCGGAUAGGAGCUCCUGCUGCAUGGUGGGGGUUGGAAAGUUUCGGCGGUUGGGGAUGGACUCGCGGCUUAUCAGCUUGUUGGUGGGGUAGUGGCUUACCAAGGCUUUGACGGGUAGCCGGCCUGAGAGGGUGACCGGCCACCUUGGGACUGAGAUACGGCCCAGACUCCUAUGGGAGGCAGCAGGGGGGAAUAUUGCAAAAUGGGCGGAAGCCUGAUGCAGCAACGCCGCGUGCGGGAUGACGGCCUUCGGGUUGUAAACCGCUUUCGCCUGUGACGAAGCGUGAGUGACGGUAAUGGGUAAAGAAGCACCGGCUAACUACGUG
rnacentral:rRNA from 1 species